rnacentral:rRNA from 1 species
GAUGAACGCUGGCGGCGUGCCUAAUACAUGCAAGUCGAGCGAACAGAUAAGGAGCUUGCUCCUUUGACGUUAGCGGCGGACGGGUGAGUAACACGUGGGUAACCUACCUAUAAGACUGGAAUAACUCCGGGAAACCGGGGCUAAUGCCGGAUAACAUUUAGAACCGCAUGGUUCUAAAGUGAAAGAUGGUUUUGCUAUCACUUAUAGAUGGACCCGCGCCGUAUUAGCUAGUUGGUAAGGUAACGGCUUACCAAGGCAACGAUACGUAGCCGACCUGAGAGGGUGAUCGGCCACACUGGAACUGAGACACGGUCCAGACUCCUACGGGAGGCAGCAGUAGGGAAUCUUCCGCAAUGGGCGAAAGCCUGACGGAGCAACGCCGCGUGAGUGAUGAAGGUCUUCGGAUCGUAAAACUCUGUUAUUAGGGAAGAACAAAUGUGUAAGUAACUGUGCACGUCUUGACGGUACCUAAUCAGAAAGCCACGGCUAGCUACGUG